CUAAGGCGCGCGAGAGAACCCCUGUUAAGGAACUCGGCAAAUUGACCGCGUAACUUCGGGAUAAGCGGUGCCCCAAACUCGUGAAAGUUUUACACUGUAAGCGAGGAGGGGCUGCAGAGAAAUGGCCCAGGCGACUGUUUACCAAAAACACAGGUCCCUGCAAAGUCGCAAGACGACGUAUAGGGGCUGACGCCUGCCCAGUGCCGGAAGGUUAAGGGGAAGGGUCCGACUUUUAGUCAAAGCUCUGAACUUAAGCCCCGGUAAACGGCGGCCGUAACUAUAACGGUCCUAAGGUAGCGAAAUUCCUUGUCGGGUAAGUUCCGACCUGCACGAAUGGCGUAACGAUCUGGGCGCUGUCUCGACGGGGGGCUCGGCGAAAUUGUAUUACCGGUGAAGAUGCCGGUUACCCGCGGUUAGACGGAAAGACCCCGUGGAGCUUUACUCUAGCUUGGCAUUGAGUUUUGGUAAGCAAUGUACAGUAUAGGUGGGAGACUUAGAAGCCAGGGCGCCAGUCUUGGUGGAGUCGCCAUUGGGAUACCACUCUUUGGUUACUGGAAUUCUAACUUCAAGCCGUAAGCCGGAUGAAGGACAUUGCCAGGUGGGGAGUUUGACUGGGGCGGUCGCCUCCCAAAGUGUAACGGAGGCGUCCAAAGGUUCCCUCCGCGCGGUUGGAAAUCGCGCUUCGAGUGCAAAGGCAUAAGGGAGCUUGACUGCGAGACUGACAAGUCGAGCAGGGACGAAAGUCGGGCUUAGUGAUCCGGUGGUUCCGAGUGGAAGGGCCAUCGCUCAACGGAUAAAAGCUACCCCGGGGAUAACAGGCUUAUCUCCCCCAAGAGUCCAUAUCGACGGGGAGGUUUGGCACCUCGAUGUCGGCUCGUCGCAUCCUGGGGCUGUAGUAGGUCCCAAGGGUUUGGCUGUUCGCCAAUUAAAGCGGUACGCGAGCUGGGUUCAGAACGUCGUGAGACAGUUCGGUCCCUAUCUGUCACGGGCGCAGGAAAUUUGAGAGGAGCUGUCCUUAGUACGAGAGGACCGGGAUGGACGCACCGCUGGUGCACCAGUUGUUCCGCCAGGAGCACAGCUGGGUAGCUAUGUGCGGCAGGGAUAAGCGCUGAAAGCAUCUAAGCGUGAAGCCCCCCUCAAGAUGAGAUUUCCCAUGGAGUUAAUCCAGUAAGACCCCUUAAAGAUGAUGAGGUUGAUAGGUCCGGUGUGGAAGUGCCGUAAGGCAUGGAGCUGACGGAUACUAAUCGGUCGAGGGCUUAACCAA
rnacentral:rRNA from 1 species